CUAUUUGAGUGUGAAAAACCACACAGUUUGCCAUUGUUAGCUGCUAACUAACCUGCGGUACAUACAUAAAUAACGUCUAUCAACAAAGUCCUGUCUCCAACGCGAAUUAAACACUAUAUGGGAUAGCUUCAUAUUUCAAAGUGGAUGGCCCAUGAUAAUGUCUCACCUGGGCCGCCACCACCUUUACCACCCAUUAUGUCUUGUCCAUUUGUCAACCAGCAACAUGAAAGAAGUUUGGAACAGAUCUCCCUUCAUGCUCACUCUACGUCGACUCCUGUCACACUCCUGACAGGAGGGAGACUUUUAAUAAAAGCGGAUUAUGUUUUCUCAUG